rnacentral:tRNA from 1 species
UUUAAUAGAAGCCAAAUAGAGGCAUUUCACUGUUAAUGAAUUAAUUGAUUAUUCCUAUUAAAA